GGGGGGAGGCCGGAUCCUGGGCUGUGUCCCGGCACCCAGUGCUCCUGGUCUGCGCGGUUGAAUUCGUGCUCCCGGCCGCGCAGCCGCCU
rnacentral:pre_miRNA from 1 species